GGGUGUGAUCAGGAAGACUCGUAUUUGGCUUGUUCAGUACUCAAAAGUUUACCAUCCUACCCUUGUGCAAGCCUAAGGUGACAGAGGUGACUGUGGCAAGGAAAAACUCCCUUAGAUGGUAUGAGGAAGAAACCUUGAGAGGAACCAGAGAACCUAUUCUCAUUUGGGUGACACCGGACAUGAACAAUGUCCUUUCUGCAUUUAUGUAUAGUCAAUUGUGUGAUGUAGAAUGUUAUUGUGUGUAUUAAUUAAGAGGUGGUUGUCGUCCUCAAAGUCCACAUAGGGAUGGCAGCAUUGCUUUGAAUACCCAAGUCCUCAUGAAGCAGAACCAAGUUGGAGCUGGUCCAUCUCUGGAUGCCUUGGGAUCCUUGCAAGGUUGGCCUCUGUCUACUGAAGCUGGCACAAUCUCUAUAUGCCUCAGGAUGAGUAGUCCAAGACCAACGGCCAGACAGAGAUGAUCAAUCAGGAGCUCAAAACUGGACUCUGAAUUCUUUGUGCCGAGGACCCCUCAUCCUGGACUAUUUCUGGGUUGAGUAUGCCCACAAAUUCCUGCCAUCCUCUGCCACAGGCCUGUUCCCAUUCCAAGCAGUUUAUGGCUCUGUUUACUCACUAGGAGCUGGAGGCCUCAGUUCUUUCUGCCCUCACUCUAAUCAAAUGCUGUUGAUGUGUCUGGAGAAGGUCCCGAAUCACACUGCUCAAGUCAUCCCAAAGCUAUGCUUGCUUGGCCAGUCACAGUCCUGCUCCCCCUUUCUGCAUCAGCAAAAGAGUCUGGCUGCCCACCAAUGACUUACCCCUCAGGAUCGCUUGACGGUAGCUGGCUCCUCACUUAGUUGGGCCAUUCCAUAUAUCCAAGAAACCCAGAGCCUUCAGAUUCCACCCAGUCUUCCAUGUUUCCUGCUUCACUACAAGCCUGUUCCCAGGUUCCUGCCUCCAGUCCCCCUCCAUUAGCCUGGUUCGUUGAUGGUGGUCCUGCCUAUACUGUGUGCCACCUUCUCUGCUCUAGAUGCCACGGGUCGUAGGUAUGCGGCGGUGUUCUGUUAGAUGGAAGCUGGUGAUGCAGUGCUGCAUACUUUGAACUGGCUUCUAGUCUCAUCUGCAGCUUUCCACACAGAUUGCUGAGCUCCUGGCUGUGGAACGAUGGAGGUCUCACAAUCCACCCCGAGACUCCAUCAACGGAGUCUGAUCAUGUCAGCGGUGAUUCCCCUCCAGAAGUCCACUUCGUCCGCAGCCAGUACACUUUGCCUCGCCUCCAAGAGCUGAAAACACAAUUGUUACAUGUAAUAAGCAACAUGUACAUCAUUACAGUUUAUACUAAUGCAACAGAAAUAAGUAAAGCGAAUUUAUUUCUAAUCUGUCUUACUUGGA